UACGGGAGGCAGCAGUGGGGAAUAUUGCACAAUGGGCGAAAGCCUGAUGCAGCUAUGCCGCGUGUAUGAAGAAGGCCUUAGGGUUGUAAAGUACUUUCAUCGGGGAGGAAAAAACAAAACUAAUAAUUUUAUUUCUUGACGUUACCCGAAAAAGAAGCACCGGCUAACUCCGUGCCAGCAGCCGCGGUAAUACGGAGGGUGCUAGCGUUAAUCAGAAUUACUGGGCGUAAAGAGCACGUAGGUGGUUUUUUUAAAGUCAGAUGUGAAAUCCCUGGGCUUAACCUAGGAACUGCAUUUUGAAACUGAAAUACUAGAGUAUCGUAGAGGGAGGUAGAAUUCUAGGUGUAGCGGUUGAAAUGCGUAGAUAUCUGGAGGAAUACCUGUGGCGAAAGCGGCCUCCUAAACGAAUACUGACACUGAGGGUGCGAAAGCGUGGGGAGCAAACAGGGAUUAGAUA
rnacentral:rRNA from 1 species